AACCAUAGCAAUUUUAUUAACUAUAAUAAAAUCACCAAUUAGAUCAAACUUAAUCAUUUUAAUUCAAACUAUAACUUUAACAUUAAUAAUUAAUAUAAUUACUAAAACAGCAUGAAUUUCAUUUAUAGUAUUUAUCUUAUACAUUGGAGGAUUAAUAAUUAUUUUUUUAUAUAUUUCAAGAAUUGCUUUUAAUGAAUUAAAUAUUAAUAAAAAUUAUAAAAUUAUAAUUUAUAAAUUAACAUUAAUUUUAAUGUUAAUCUUUUAUUUAAAAUUAAAUCUCAAUCUUGAAAAUUUCAAUUAUGAAAAUAAAUUUAUAUUUGAAGAUAAUUUUAAUUUAUUAAAUAUAUUCAUAAUACCAAAUAAUUUAAUAAUUUAUUUAAUUAUCUUAAUCCUUUUUUUUAUAUUAAUUUUAAUUAUUUGAAUACUAAAAAUUAAUAAAGGACCAAUUCGACAAAAAAAUAAUUAAUGAAAAAAAAUAUACUAAAAACUUUAUCCCCAAUAUUAAAUUUACCUACACCAGCUAGAAUUAGUUUUAUAUGAAAUUUUGGAUCUUUAUUAAUAAUUUGUUUAAUUAAUCAAAUUUUAACAGGAUUAUUUUUAGCCUUCCAUUAUAAAACAGAUAUUAAUUUAGCUUUUCAAAGAAUUAUUAAUAUAAAUCGAAAUAUUAACUUUGGAUGAUUAAUCCGAUCUUUCCAUGCAAAUGGGGCUUCUAUAUUUUUUAUUAUAAUUUAUAUUCAUAUUAGACGAGGUAUCUAUAUAAAUUCUUUCAACUUUAAAAUAACAUGAAUUAUUGGAGUAAUUUUAUUAUUAUUAACAAUAAUAACAGCAUUUGUAGGUUAUGUAUUACCAUGAGGACAAAUAUCAUUUUGGGGGGCAACAGUAAUCACAAAUUUAUUAUCAGCAAUUCCUUAUUUAGGAAAUUCAAUUGUUAUUUGAAUUUGAGGGGGAUUCUCAAUUAAUAAUGCUACAUUAACACGAUUUUUCUCAAUCCAUUUUAUUUUACCAUUUAUUAUUAUUUUAUUUACUUUUAUUCACUUAUUCUUUCUUCAUUUAACAGGUUCUAAUAAUCCACUAGGAAUUAAUAGAAAUUUUGAUAAAAUUACUUUUUCUCCAUAUUUUCUAAUUAAAGAUUUAAUUGGAUUAAUCAUAUUUAUAUGAAUAUUUUUUAUUUUAGCUUUAAUUUUUCCAUACCUACUAAAUGAUCACAAUAAUUUUAUUAUAGCAAAUUCAAUAAUUACACCAAAUCACAUUCAACCAGAAUGAUAUUUUUUAUUUUCUUAUUCAAUUUUACGAGCAAUCCCUAAUAAAUUAGGAGGGGUUAUUGCUUUAAUACUUUCAAUUUUAAUUUUAUUAAUCUUACCUAUAUUAAACAAUAAAAAUUUUUUAAGAAAUAAAUUUUACCCAUUAAAUAAAUUUUUAUUCUGAAUAUUUAUUAUAACAUUUUUUAUUUUAACCUGAAUUGGGAUACAACCAGUUGAAUACCCAUUUAUUACAACAGGGCAAAUUUUUACAACAAUUUAUUUUUCUUACUUUUUCAUUAACUUUUAUAUCAUAAAGUUAUGAGAUAAAUUAUUAAUUUA